GACGUAGGGCGCGAGCGUUGUCCGGAUUUAUUGGGCGUAAAGAGCUCGUAGGCGGCUUGUUGCGUCAGCUGUGAAAACCCGCAGCUCAACUGUGGGCUUGCAGCUGAUACGGGCAGGCUUGAGUUCGGUAGGGGAGACUGGAAUUCCUGGUGUAGCGGUGAAAUGCGUAGAUAUCUGGAGGAACACCGGUGGCGAAGGCGGCAUCCUGGACCGGUAUUGACGCUGAGGCGCGAAAGCUAGGGGAGCAAACGGG
rnacentral:rRNA from 1 species